CAGGGGGGGGGGUCCCUCAGCCCAGAUUGUGAGAGGGCACAGGCCAGGCCAAGGGACCCCACAGGUGCACA
rnacentral:pre_miRNA from 1 species